AUUGACCGCUGGCGGCAGGCCUAACACAUGCAAGUCGAGCGGAGCGGCGGACGGGUGAGUAAUGCCUAGGAAUCUGACUGGUAGUGGGGGAUAACGUCAGGUAACGGUCGCUAAUACCGCAUACUAUCUGAUGCGCCUAGGUCGGAUUAGCACGUUGGUGGGGUAAAGGCCUACCAAGGCGAAGAUCCGUAACUGGUCUGAGAGGAUGAUCAGUCACACUGGAACUGAGACACGGUCCAGACUCCUACGGGAGGCAGCAGUGGGGAAUAUUGGACAAUGGGCGAAAGCCUGAUCCAGCCAUGCCGCGUGUGUGAAGAAGGUCUUCGGAUUGUAAAGCACUUUAAGUUGGGAGGCGUUACCAACAGAAUAAGCACCGGCUAACUUCGUGCCAGCAGCCGCGGUAAUUC
rnacentral:rRNA from 1 species